GGAAGACACAACGCCAAAACACGGUCCCUGUAACUGACAAGUCUUUAUUAUUAGUCAUAUUAUAGACAUGGGGUUUCUCUCUGUACAUCGUAUCAAUCAGCCUCCCAAAGCAAUGUGCAUAUUAGGUUUACAGGUCAGGCCAAUAUUCUACUCUGCAUCUCAAGGUGUGAGGCUUCUAGCUGAUACAAUUCUCAGUGAUAGAACGUCUCUAUAGAAGUAAAGGAGAGAAUUCUAGAAUUCUCAGUGAUAGAACGUCUCUAUAGAAGUAAAGGAGAGAAUUCUCAAAGUCUCAGUGAUAGAACGUCUCUAUAGAAGUAAAGGAGAGAAUUCUCAGUGAUAGAACUCUAGAAUUCUCAGUGAUAGAACUCUAGAAUUCUCAGUGAUAGAACGUCUCUAUAAAAGUAAAGGAGAGAAUUCUAGCUGAUAGAAUUCUAGAACUCUCAGUGAUAGAACUCUAGAACGCUCAGCGAUAGAACGUCUCUAUAGAAGUAAAGGAGAGACUUCUAGCUGAUAGAACUCUAGAACUCUCAGUGAUAGAACUCUAGAACGCUCAGCGAUAGAACGUCUCUAUAGAAGUAAAGGAGAGACUUCUAGCUGAUAGAACUCUAGAACUCUCAGUGAUAGAACUCUAGAACGCUCAGCGAUAGAACGUCUCUAUAGAAGCAGCAGUAAAUCUAACCUCCUGCCUAUAGCUGUCCCCUGUGGCUGGUUGGUUGGCUAGUAGGUAGAAAAGGUGAUGGCACACAUGUUUUUUAGGAAUACCGUGACCCCCUGGCUGCGCUGUGGCACCGUAGUUCCUACGGAGGGCAAUCACUGUCUAUGAGUCCCUGGUCAUCAGUAGUGCAGUAACAUAGGAGACAGGUCUGGAACACUGCCCAGGUCUCCACUGUGGACUGGCCUUUAGAUAUAAACAAACCAACCCCGAAUGAUCAUGGAAGGCUGGAUAACACUAUUGCAUAGUCUCUUUGAGCACCCUACUCCCCCAUUACCC
ensembl:lncRNA